UAUGAUAAGCUUUAAAGGAAAACUUUGACAAAAAACAACAACAGAUAUACAAUUACAAUUUCCCACUUACCCCAAGUGUACUCAGUGAAGACAUGUUUAGCAUCUGAUAGUUGCUUUUUGUUGUUGUUUUUUGCACUGCAGCUACAUGGCUAAAGAAUAAUGUAGUAAUGGUAGCAAGCCUAAAUCUUCAUGUACUUCAUUUAAUCAACACCAUUACGCUACAAAAUCCCAAUUUUAAAUACAUGAAUUAAGAGAUUUAAAAAACAAAAACUAUAUAACCAUCACUUGGGAGGUGGGAGCUAGAUGGCAGAUUGAUGGCAAACUUCUGUGAGGAAAAAAAGGCGUAAUAGCUAUUUUCAGAAAAAUCUUUAUUUAUGUGGAGAAGGCUUCAAAUAACAGUAUGUUCUACAUCACCAAGUCUCGAUGUUCCUACUGGUGUUAUCUGAUCUGUUAAUCUAGUCAACAUGGAGAGUUUUAUCAGAACGCUGCAUCACAUAAACAGAUGCAAAAAUUUUAUAUGUUUGUGGCUCAGAGCUGCUGAUUAGAGGCCGUGUGUGAGCAGUGAUAUGUCCCGGCUGGUGGGAGGUCAGACGUCACGUUUAGGAUGAACAUCUGGAGCUUUAUAGUAGAGCGAGUGAGCGAGCGAGAGAGAGAGAGCGAGAGAGAGAGAGCGAGAGAGAGAGAGAGAAGAGUGACAGGAAAUUUACUGGUCAUAGUGAUGUAGCUUAAUUCUUAUAUUCCACAGUGUUAUUGAAUUAACAGUUCAUUGUUACUAUAGAAACAUGUAAUGUGGAUUUAUAUGUCAGACACUCCACACAAUCUAAUCUAAUAAGAUGUUGAAGCAGAUGUUUAUUAACAUUUUUUGGAAGGAAUGUCCAGUGUCAGCACUUUGUAACAGAGGGGUUUCCGCUUUCCACUUUCUUGGUAAUGUGACAAGAUGUAAUGUAAUGUAAGUGAUAACAGGAACUGAUUAGUUUUUCAGUCUUGAUUUGUUGUUCCACACCAUUAAAUGUAAUUAUAUAAAGAUUUUAAAAAGUAUGACGUGUCAUUUUUUAAUAAAUUUAAAAAAUCUAAUGGUUAAUUUGCUGAGGUUUAAGAGAAAUAAAGCAUUUUCGGGAUAUGCCAUUACAGGUAAAGAUCAACUUUGGGGUGAUAACAAUAACGCCGCUUCACCACACCAGCCAGUCACUGAUU